rnacentral:lncRNA from 1 species
AUGUCAGAGGGGUUUGUAGCAGCCAUUAUUUGCUAUCCAUGGCAUCAUGAAUGUUCCUGGACACACCCCCUGGAUACCAGAAUCCUAGUACCUGUGGAGCUAUCCAGACGUGCAUUUUUGACUGCUUGCGAGCAAGAGACCCAGGGGCUGUCCAUCCUGUGCUACUGUCAAAGAGGUCCCUCAAAACCUGCCCCACUGUUCCCCACUGAGGCAUGGCGCUGCUGUUGCAUUAAUGCCACAUUCUUGCUGUCCCUACCUGGUUUGUUGCCAAAAGACAGUUCCUUUGAGGCUCAAGCAGCUGCUGUCUUCUGCAUUAGUGGACUCCUGCAGUGUGUCACCACCAGUAUAUGA